rnacentral:rRNA from 1 species
UACGGAGGGUGCAAGCGUUAAUCGGAAUUACUGGGCGUAAAGCGCGCGUAGGCGGUUUGAUAAGUCGAUUGUGAAAUCCCCGGGCUCAACCUGGGAAUUGCAGUCGAGACUGUCAGACUAGAGUGUGGGAGAGGGUGGUGGAAUUCCCGGUGUAGCGGUGAAAUGCGUAGAUAUCAAGAGGAACACCUGAGGUGAAGACGGGUUGCUGGGCUGACACUGACGCUGAGGCACGAAAGCCAGGGGAGCAAACGGG